UACGUAGGCAGCGAGCGUUGUUCGGAGUUACUGGGCGUAAAGCGUGCGCAGGCGGUUUUGUAAGCCAGAUGUGAAAGCCCCGGGCUUAACCUGGGAAUGGCAUUUGGGACUGCAAGGCUUGAGUGCGGCAGAGGAGACUGGAAUUCCUGGUGUAGCAGUGAAAUGCGUAGAUAUCAGGAGGAAUACCGAUGGCGAAGGCAGGUCUCUGGGCUGACACUGACGCUCAUGCACGAAAGCGUGGGGAGCAAACAGG
rnacentral:rRNA from 1 species